rnacentral:misc_RNA from 1 species
GCAACUCCAUCUGAACAUAUGAAAGUUCCUUGUUUAUCUUCAGAAGGAAAUCAUUGAAAUCCCGCUCAUGAGAACGUGGGUUUUUUCCGGUGACGGCAGCGAAGAUCUUGUGGAAUUCGUUCUCCUUGAGUGGGCCGCGCGUCAUCAACGCUUGAAUAAGAGUGUGGUGCUUCCAGUUGAGCACGGCCAUGUAUUCGACUUUAAAACCCUAGAUUUGAUCGGAAGUAUGAAUUUUGGGUGGGCGAAGUGAGGAUAUUUUCGGCGGAGAAGGGUUUCUUGUCG